UACGGCGGGUGCGAGCGUUAAUCGGAAUUACUGGGCGUAAAGCGCGCGUAGGCGGUUUGUUAAGUCGGAUGUGAAAGCCCCGGGCUCAACCUGGGAACUGCACCCGAUACUGGCCGACUUGAGUGCGAGAGAGGGAGGUAGAAUUCCAUGUGUAGCGGUGAAAUGCGUAGAUAUAUGGAGGAAUACCGGUGGCGAAGGCGGCCUCCUGGCUCGACACUGACGCUGAGGUGCGAAAGCGUGGGUAGCAAACAGG
rnacentral:rRNA from 1 species